rnacentral:rRNA from 1 species
GAUGAACGCUGGCGGCGUGCCUAAUACAUGCAAGUCGAGCGAACGGACGAGAAGCUUGCUUCUCUGAUGUUAGCGGCGGAUGGGUGAGUAACACGUGGAUAACCUACCUAUAAGACUGGGAUAACUUCGGGAAACCGGAGCUAAUACCGGAUGAUAUUUUGAACCGCAUGGUUCAAAAGUGAAAGACGGUCUUGCUGUCACUUAUAGAUGGAUCCGCGCUGCAUUAGCUAGUUGGUAAGGUAACGGCUUACCAAGGCAACGAUGCAUAGCCGACCUGAGAGGGUGAUCGGCCACACUGGAACUGAGACACGGUCCAGACUCCUACGGGAGGCAGCAGUAUGGAAUCUUCCGCAAUGGGCGAAAGCCUGACGGAGCAACGCCGCGUGAGUGAUGAAGGUCUUCGGAUCGUAAAACUCUGUUAUUAGGGAAGAACAUAUGUGUAAGUAACUGUGCACAUCUUGACGGUACCUAAUCAGAAAGCCACGGCUAACUACGUG